UAUCCAGGAAACCAGGGAUCUGUUCCCAGCCUGGGUAACUCAGUGCUGUCCCAGGCUGACUCCACCUGCAGGGCUUGGUCCCUAGGGCGCCCAUGUCCCUGCCGUCUCCUAGCAACAGGGACUCUUGUCACUGAGCCAGGGGAUUCCGUGCUGGGCUGGGGUUGGAUGGCGGCACCUGGUCCUUGCAGUGUCUCAGCUGCUCUUCAGGAGCACCUGAGGCACCUGACUCUGCAGGACUUCCCCUGUGGCCUUGGCAGCUGGAACAAGUCCCGCUUUGCUGCACGCAGGAGCCCCCAUGGAGGCCAGCCAGGGCUGUGGGCAGACCUGGCCAGGCAGGAGGAGGAUGUGCCACUGGGUGAGGAGAGCCCUGAGGCACUGGUAGAGCUGCUGAAGGACCAACACAGCCCCUGGGCCCUGCCACCGGGCUGCAGCCCCCAGGACCAGCUCCUGCGGGAAGUGGCCGUGCUGGAGCCCAAGCUCGUCCAUGGCUCUAACGUCUUCCAGGUCCUCAGGUCCCUGCGGAUCGUUGACAAGGGAGUGGAGGAGGUCGAUGCAGGUCUGUUGCAGCUGCAGCAGCUGCAGGAGCUCAUCCUCAGUGCCAACCACAUCAGUAGAGUAACCUCAGCCAACCUGCCCCGGACUCUGAAGGUUCUGGAGCUCUGCUGCAAUGCUGUGGCUGAUCUGCAGGACCUGUGUGCUCAGCCUCCUCCAGAGCUUCAGCACUUGGGGUUGGGAUACAACAGGCUGUGCGGACCUUUGCAGGACCAGUGCCUCACUGCAGCCUUCUGGCCAAAUCUUGUAUCCCUUGACCUGAGCUUUAACAACUUAACAGAUCUUCUGGGACUGGUCUCCCAGCUGUCCAGUCUGGAGAAGCUCCGCAUCCUGGUGCUGAAAGGGAACCCGUUGGCUCUCAUUCCCACUUACAGAGGCUUCCUUGUGGACAGCCUGCCCAAGCUCUCCAUCCUCGAUGACAUCAAUGUAGGGUUUGAUGAGAGACACCAGUUCCUUGGUUUGGCAAGUCAGCCAGAGCUGAUGAGGAGUGAAGCACGAGUGGUUGUGAGUGUUGGGGCCAUGAAAGGAGUCCCUGAUCCCAGCACUCUUCAGCAGCUGGCAGAUGACUCUGACUUCCCAGUGAUCACCUACAGCUACUGUGUGACAUAUGAGUUUGUGGAGGGAGAAGAGCUUGACGAUGGCAGUAGCGCUGAGGUAACAAAAAUCCAUGAGAGUCUCGAGGGGGCCACCUUGGAUGCGGACAGCUCUGCCCAGGAUGCAGGAGAAACAAAGAACCAGCAGGACCCUGCAGCCACAGAGAAGCCCAAGGCCUGUUCUGCAAAGGUGUUUGUCACCCCUGGAAAGCCCUGGGAAGAUACCAUUGACUACAGCUACAGGAAGGAACAUAUUGUUAAGGACUUAAUGGGGCUGAAGUCCUACCUGGCGGCUGGAACAAUUGUCUCAGUUGUGGAGGAGAAGGUCCUGUCAUGGCCUGUUGAAGCUGAUCCAGGAGAAAACAUAGACAAAAAUAAGAAGGCAGGACGGAGGCAGCAGAAGGAUGGUGCCAAGCAUCCUGCGUGCAAGGACAAGCAGAAAAAGAAGAAGAAGGCAUGUGAAUUCCGCAGUGACCCUCCCAUUCGAAAGACCCUGGGCACCAGGAAGGUGACCCUGGAGGCUCUGCUGGCCACUGAGGAACUGGUGAUAGCUUUGUGUGACUUUGGUAUCCUGAUCACUGAAAAACCACCACAGCCACCAAGUGUGGAGGAGAAGGUAAGGAGUGUGUUCUGGGGCACAUGAGGCAGAGCUGCCAGGGAUGGGCAGUGCUGCAGGGUGGGAUUCAGCGUAUCCUGGCCUGGGCAUCCCUCCCAUGCAUCCCUCAGUUCUCCUCUCCAUAAAAUGGGGCUGAAAUAGCCCUGCUUGAACACCAUCCAUUGAUGCUGGUAUCCUUACUCAGUGUUGAUAUUAGCAGUAAGUACUGUUACUUUUUCUGGGCCUGGGAAAAUAGGUGAGUUUAUUUUUCCACUUGAGAAUAUGAAAGCAACCCCUUGUGCUUCCUGUGAUGCUCUCUCAGCAUGGCAGCACACACCAACUCAAACGUUCUAUUUCUUGGAUUCUCUUCUCUGAGCAUCCCCUCUGCUGUGCUUCUGCUUCCCCUCACCUCUUUCCUCCGCCCUUUAAAUCCCUGUGACCAAACCCAGAUGGUGAUGGCAGUCACAGGACUGAAUGCGGGCAGUGAGUUUCAUCACAGCCUAACUACGGAAACACCUCUCUCCACAGGGCAAGAAGAAAAGCAAAGACAAGAGCAAAACCCCCAAAGCAGAGAGUAAAAAUCAGGCCAAACAGAAAGCUUCAACAUCUGCCAAAGGAAAAAUCAAAAAGAAAGGCUCCAGUGUACUGGAGGAGGGUCAAGGGCUGCAGCCAGUACCGCUGACGGUUCAGUUCCAGAUGCAGCUGCUUCGGUGGCCCCCGGCAGCCAGUGCUCAGAGCCAGGAGAGCGUGGC